AACAAAUCAAUUUUUUAGUUUUUAGAUACAAUGUUUAACUCUUCGUCUUAUUUAAAAAAAUUACAAUUAAUAUUUUUGUUUUUAGUAGAUGAUAAAACAAGAAUAGUACUUUAUGUGUGACUAUUUUUUAAAAAAAUUCUUGGAAAAUUUUAAAUAAGAUGGAUAGUCAAACACUCGACACGAAAACCAAAAGAU
rnacentral:pre_miRNA from 1 species